GGGAAAGUAGAUGUGUGGGCUGCAGCCAGAAAGGAAUUUUUAAAUGGUCAAUAUUUUCAUAUAUUUCUAGCAAUUAUUUUUUUCUUGCAAAAUCUUUAACAGAAAUCACAAUGUAAGUUCAAGAUUGCAACACUGUUAACAGAGGAACAUUCAUAGAGUUUAGAAGAAAAAUACGUAACAAAAGCUUUAAGAAGAUAAUAUCCUACACUAAAAAAGUGACUCAGGAGUCACUGAAAACUGGGCUGUGCUUUCUUAGAACCCUGUGAACUGAAGCCAGACAACUUAAACUUCAGAAGAAAAUAACAGCAACCUGUUUACAUACGUAAGCCACUU
rnacentral:lncRNA from 1 species